ACACUCCUGCGGGAGGCAGCAGUGGGGAAUUUUGGACAAUGGGCGAAAGCCUGAUCCAGCAAUGCCGCGUGCAGGAUGAAGGCCUUCGGGUUGUAAACUGCUUUUGUACGGAACGAAAAAGCUCCUUCUAAUACAGGGGGCCCAUGACGGUACCGUAAGAAUAAGCACCGGCUAACUACGUGCCAGCAGCCGCGGUAAUACGUAGGGUGCGAGCGUUAAUCGGAAUUACUGGGCGUAAAGCGUGCGCAGGCGGUUAUGUAAGACAGAUGUGAAAUCCCCGGGCUCAACCUGGGAACUGCAUUUGUGACUGCAUGGCUAGAGUACGGUAGAGGGGGAUGGAAUUCCGCGUGUAGCAGUGAAAUGCGUAGAUAUGCGGAGGAACACCGAUGGCGAAGGCAAUCCCCUGGACCUGUACUGACGCUCAUGCACGAAAGCGUGGGGAGCAAACAGGAUUAGAAACCCUAGUAGUCCCA
rnacentral:rRNA from 1 species